CACCCGGUGGAUGGCUCGGCUCGGGCGGCGACGAAGGGCGUGGCAAGCUGCGAAAAGCCGCGGGUAGGCGCAUGCAGCCGUGGAUCCGCGGAUGCCCGAAUGGGGCAACCCACCUACGCCUUACGGCGUAGGUGUACACCGGCUUUAAAGCCGGUGUACGCGAACCCCCCGAAGGGAAACAUCCUAGUAGGGGGAGGAAAAGAAAUCAAACGAGAUUCCCUGAGUACCGGAGAGGGAAAGGGGAGGAGCCCAAACCGAAUCUCCCUGGGAUGACCAGGGAGAGAUGUGGGGUUUCGGAGGGUGGCAUAUGCCUCCCCACCCACAGUAGCCGAACUCACCUGGAAUGGUGGGCCGUAGAGGGUGAAAGCCCCGUAGGCGAAGCUGUGGAGGGAGGCGCCAUCCUCCAGAGUACCCUACCUUGACUGGUAGGGGAAGACGGGGGUCACUGACCUCCAAGGCUAAAUACGUCCCGAGACCGAUAGCGCACUAGUACCGCGAGGGAAAGCUGAAAAGCACCCCGGAAGGGGGGUGAAAAGAGCCUGAAACCGGGUGGGGAAGGCCAGUGCCAAGGCCCGAAAGCCUCCAAUAACUCCCUCUAUUUUAGAGGGGGUGAGGAGGCGGGGUCUUGGCAUCCGUCUUGAAACACGGGCCAGGGAGUUCAUCCGAGCGGCGAGUCUAAGGCUGUUAAGGCCGUAGGCAUAGGGAAACCGACAGGUGUGCACCACGCCUUUUUGGCGUGGGAGACACGGCCUCUGAAAGGGGGUGGAGCCGCUCGGAUGAGACUAGAAGCCAGGCGAUCUACCCCUGGGCAGGGUGAAGCCGAGCUAAAGCUCGGUGGAGGCCCGCAAGGGUACUGACGUGCAAUUCGUUCCCCUGACCUGGGGGUAGGGGCGAAAGACCUAUCGAGCCUGGGGAUAGCUAGUUCCCCCCGAAGUGAGUCUUAGCUCAGCGGCGGGCGAGGUGGACCGGGGGGUAGAGCACUGAUGGAGAGUGCAGGGGUUCGUCCCCGGCUCUCCGUCAAACUCCGAAUCUCCGGUCUCCGUAGACCCCGCCAGUGGGGCUCCAGGGGGUAAGCUCCUGGGCCGAAAGGGGAACAACCCAGCCCGGGGUUAAGGCCCCUAAGUGCCGGCUAAGUGCCAAACGAAAGGAGGUCCUCCUCCUAAGACAGCGGGGGAGUAGGCUUAGAAGCAGCCAUCUCAUAAUGAGUGCGUAACAGCUCACCCGCCGAGGAGGAGGGCGCCGAAAAUGCACGGGGCUCAAGCCGGCCGCCGAGACCCCGGGGCAGGGGCGAAUGCCCCUGAUCCGGUAGGGGGGCGUCGGGCCCGGGGAGAAGUCGGGCCGUGAGGUCCGAUGGACCGGGUCCGAUUGCAGAUCCUGGCGGUAGUAGGAGCGCAGUCGGGUGGGAAUCCCGACCGCCGAAAGGGCAAGGGUUCCCCGGCAAUGCGUCGUCAGCCGGGGGUUAGCCGGUCCUAAGGGAGGGGCUAACCUACCCUCCCAAAGGGGGAAACCGGUUAAUAUUCCGGUGCCGCUGGUUCCCGGAGGUGGGCUUACGCCCCGCCCUAUACCUCCUGACGCCUCGGGAUAGGGCGAGUGGGGCUGUCGCCCCACCUAACUGCUGAAGCUGGGGGAGUACCGUAAUGGUGAGACCCCGGUGAAGGCAGGAAUGGCCGGCCUUAGCCGGUUCGCCUGAGUCCCGGGGCCAGUGAAAAGGGAGGUAUAGGGACUGACGGGGCCGGCGACCGUACCCAGAACCGACACUGGUGCCCUGGGUGAGUAGCCUAAGGCGUCUCGGGUUAUGGCGGGCGAGGGAAUUCGGCAAAUUGGCCCCGUACCUUCGGUAGAAGGGGUGCCUGCCCUUCGGGUCCUAGAGACUUGAAGGGCAGGUCGCAGUGACAAGGAGGUCCCGACUGUUUACUAAAAACAUAGGGGGCCGCUAGCCCGAAAGGGUGUGUACGGCUCCUGAAUCCUGGCCAGUGGCGGUAUCUUAAGCCCGGGUACAACCGGGUGAAGGACCGCUAAACGCCGGGAGUAACUCUGACUCUCUUAAGGUAGCCAAAUGCCUUGUCGGGUAAGUUCCGACGUGCAUGAACGGAUCAACGAGGGCCUCACUGUCCCCGCCCGCCGCCCGCCGAACCCACAUCCCCGCUCGAACAGUCGGGGAUCCCCCGUUGGGAAGAGAAGACCCUGUGGAGCUUUACUGCAGCCUGCGGCUGGAGUGUGGCGGUGGGUACAGAGCGUAGCCGGGAGCCUGUGAAGCAACCUCUCCGGGGGUUGUGGAGGCGCCCAUGUAACACCGGCUACUCAUCGCUACACUCCUAACCACCCGAGAGGGUGGGACAACCGUUGGUGGGCAGUUUGGCUGGGGCGGCCUCCCCUCGAAAAGGUAUCGAGGGGGCCCAAAGGUCGGCUCACGCGGGUCAGAAACCCGCGGUAGAGUGCAAGGGCAAAAGCCGGCCUGACUGCACCCUUGACAAUAAGGGGUGCAGGGGCGAAAGCCGGGCCUAGCGAACCCUCGUGCCCUCCUCAGUGGGGGCCGGGGAUGACAGAAAAGUUACCCCAGGGAUAACAGGCUCGUCGCGGGCGAGAGUCCCCAUCGACCCCGCGGCUUGGUACCUCGAUGUCGGCUCUUCCCAUCCUGGCCUCGAAGUAGGGGCCAAGGGUGGGGCUGCUCGCCCAUUAAAGGGGAACGUGAGCUGGGUUUAGACCGUCGUGAG
rnacentral:rRNA from 1 species